UACGGGGGGAGCAAGCGUUGUUCGGAUUUACUGGGCGUAAAGGGCUCGUAGGCGGCCAACUAAGUCAGACGUGAAAUCCCUCGGCUUAACCGGGGAACUGCGUCUGAUACUGGAUGGCUUGAGUUUGGGAGAGGGAUGCGGAAUUCCUGGUGUAGCGGUGAAAUGCGCAGAUAUCAGGAGGAACACCGGUGGCGAAGGCGGGUCUCUGGCCGAUAUGACGCUGAGGAGCGAAAGCGUGGGAGCGAACAGG
rnacentral:rRNA from 1 species